CUCUCUCCGAGGAACAGAGUUCACGGAGAAGGUCUCCGGUCUGAACGAAUGAGGAGCUCACCAUGGUGGAGCGCAACCUCCUCUCCGUCGCCUACAAGAAUAUCAUGGGCGCCCGCCGCGCCUCCUGGCGCAUCAUUUCCUCCAUCGACCAGAAGGAGGAGUCCUGCGGCAACGCCGUCCAUGUUGCCGCCUCUAGCCCUCCUCGAUCUACGAGCUGCUCGAUUCCAAGCUCAUCCCGUUCGCCACCUCCGGAGACUCCGGAAAUCACUUUUGUUUUCUUCUCUUAGCAAGGACAAUGGGAAUUUGAAUCCUCACGCUUUAGGAAAUGGAGAAAGAAAUGGUGUGGACACCAUUGAAUAGGUAAGUCAGUUGGUUCAUUUGUUUGAGAGAUUUUAGAUGUGAAGUUUACUUUUAAUUUUUGGUUGUUUGCUUUGGUUUCUUUUAUCAUCGGCCUUAUUACUCAAAAGUAUAGAUUGACACCAUUGAAUAUAAUUCCCAAAGCUGUGGAUGGAAAAUCGAGUGCCACAUUGACUUUCAUAUACAAUCAAUCAUUACUUCAAUUUUUUUUAAACUUUGAGUGCAGAGUGCAUCUGGUCCAUUUCCCCUUCUCCUUUGUCUCCCAUCGGCAUGGGAGCGAGGUCAAGGAAGGACUAGCAGAACACUCUUCUAUCUCCUCUUUUUCUCCAUAUCUACUUCUUCUCCUAAUCUUUUACGGACACCACCAUACCUACACUGCCCAAACUGCAACAUUGACUGUUGAGUUCGUUUUACAGAUUUUGGGAUUUGGAAUUAAUUGGAUGUAUGAAUUGGGUGUAUGAAAAAUUUUCUUUUGUGUAGUAUCGGUCUGUCUUGGCUCUGCGUUUGUUUGCCGAAUUCGCAUGAUUUUCUCUUUUUCAUGUUCAUCAUUGUAGGGUCUUGGUAUUUGUGAAAUUUUAUUGGGAAUAAAGAAAUGAGUCGAAAUCCCUUGGGCAAAUAUGAAUUUUGUUAGUACUUUUGUUGGCUAUUUUUUCAUUUCUUUUUUAGAUCUUUUUGUCCCCUCCAAGAGUUGAUUCUUUUGUGCAUUUGUGGCCUUCUUGAAGUUGCAUUAGACAUAAACAGUUCUAAGGGAGAGAAUGCGUAGUAUAUAUCCAAAAGAAAAUUCCUUUUCUUUCAAUCUUGACUCUCCAAUUCUACACAUCCAAGGGUCCAAAAAAUGUCCCUCUCACAAACUAACUUUUGAAUGGCAGUUUGGUAAAUAAUCUGUAUUUUUUAAAUGUCAAAAGAAGGAAGUGGUUAAGGGCUAAGAUUGAAACCAGGAGGCUUCAUGGUUGAGGUUUCAAAGCCCUAGCUAUAGUUUUUGUGAGGGUGUUUGGCGAACCAUCAAUCCUGCCAAAAGUCGACCACUUCUGUUGCUCUCAGAGGAAAUCGUUGGGUGGCCAAACCCAUGCAUUUCAAGAGAAUCUAACAGAUAUCAAAAGAGGAAGGUAGAUUGAAGAAGGAUGAAGAAGAGAAAAAAGAAAGUGUGAGCAUGAGGAGCAGUGGGUGCCUUCAAGAAGACGAAGGGCUACAAAAGGCUACCAAAAGAAAGUCAGCUUCAUCCCCAAAUCUGAAGCAUUAGUAUUGCCGAUUGCCAUGGUCUUCAGCAGUAUCUACCCGUGCAUGUUGAGGAGGCAUUGCACUUGCGAGAGAUCGAAUAUGCAAGUCGAAAAUAGAUGUCAAUGAUUUUGGAGAUGGAGCUAUUGGGUCCUUUGUUAGACUGAUGAGGUCAAUAGUAAAAUAGAGUAGUUGGUUUAGAUUGGUACGAGCCAUAGCACAUGCAAUUGUACAGUUUCUUUGAUUUGUAUUCCCUAACUUAAAAAAAAUUGCUUGAUUGAAUUGGAAUUCAAUGCACUAAAUUUUGAUGAUCCUA